GAUGAACGCUGGCGGCGUGCCUAAUACAUGCAAGUCGAGCGAACGGACGAGAAGCUUGCUUCUCUGAUGUUAGCGGCGGACGGGUGAGUAACACGUGGAUUACCUACCUAUAAGACUGGGAUAACUUCGGGAAACCGGAGCUAAUACCGGAUAAUAUUUUGAACCGCAUGGUUCAAAAGUGUAAGACGGUCUUGCUGUCCCUUAUAGAUGGAUCCGCGCUGCAUUAGCUAGUUGGUAAGGUAACGGCUUACCAAGGCAACGAUGCAUAGCCGACCUGACAGGGUGAACGGCCACACUGGAACUGAAACACGGUCCAGAGUCCUACGGGAGGCAGCAGUAGGGAAUCUUCCGCAAUGGGCGAAAGCCUGACGGAGCAACGCCGCGUGGAUGAUGAAGGUCUUCGGAUCGUAAAACUCUGUUAUUAGGGAAGAACAUAUGUGUAAGUAACUGUGCACAUCUUGACGGUACCUAAUCAGAAAGCCACGGCUAACUACGUG
rnacentral:rRNA from 1 species